rnacentral:rRNA from 1 species
UCCUACGGGAGGCAGCAGUAGGGAAUCUUCGGCAAUGGACGAAAGUCUGACCGAGCAACGCCGCGUGAGUGAAGAAGGUUUUCGGAUCGUAAAACUCUGUUGUUAGAGAAGAACGUUGUGUAGAGUGGAAAAUUACACAAGUGACGGUAUCUAACCAGAAAGGGACGGCUAACUACGUGCCAGCAGCCGCGGUAAUA